UACAGAGACUGCAAGCGUUAUUCGGAUUCACUGGGCGUAAAGGGUGCGCAGGCGGCCAAGUGUGUGAGGCGUGAAAGCCCGAAGCUUAACUUCGGAAUUGCACCUCAAACUACAUGGCUAGAGCAUUGGAGAGGGUAGCGGAAUUCCAGGUGUAGCGGUGAAAUGCGUAGAUAUCUGGAGGAACACCGGUGGCGAAGGCGGCAUUCUGGACUGCAACUGACACUGAACGACGAAAGCCAGGGGAGCAAACGGG
rnacentral:rRNA from 1 species